rnacentral:rRNA from 1 species
UACGAAGGGGGCUAGCGUUGCUCGGAAUUACUGGGCGUAAAGAGCGUGUAGGCGGCCGUACAGGUCAGCUGUGAAAACUCGAGGCUCAACCUCGAGACGUCGGUUGAAACCGUACGGCUAGAGUCCGGAAGAGGAGAGUGGAAUUCCCGGUGUAGCGGUGAAAUGCGCAGAUAUCGGGAAGAACACCGGUGGCGAAGGCGCUGCUCUGGGCCGAUACUGACGCUGAGGAGCGAAAGCGUGGGUAGCAAACAGG